rnacentral:rRNA from 1 species
GAUGAACGCUGGCGGCAUGCCUAAUACAUGCAAGUCGAGCGAACAGACGAGGAGCUUGCUCCUCUGACGUUACCGGCGGACGGGUGAGUAACACGUGGAUAACCUACCUAUAAGACUGGGAUAACUUCGGGAAACCGGAGCUAACACCGGAUAACAUGUUGAACCGCAUGGUUCAACAGUGAAAGACGGUCUUGCUGUCACUUAUAGAUGGAUCCGCGCCGCAUUAGCUAGUUGGUAAGGUAACGGCUUACCAAGGCGACGAUGCGUAGCCGACCUGAGAGGUUGAUCGGCCACACUGGAACUGAGACACGGUCCAGACUCCUACGGGAGGCAGCAGUAGGGAAUCUUCGGCAAUGGGCGAAAGCCUGACGGAGCAACGCCGCGUGAGUGAAGAAGGUCUUCGGAUCGUAAAACUCUGUUAUUAGGGAAGAACAAAUGUGUAAGUAACUAUGCACGUCUUGACGGUACCUAAUCAGAAAGCCACGGCUAACUACGUG